rnacentral:tRNA from 1 species
GCCUGGGUGGCUCAGUGGGUUGAGCAUCCGACUUCAGCUCAGGUCAUGAUCUCGCGGUCUGUGGGUUCGAGCCCCGUGUCGGGCU